AUUGAACGCUGGCGGCAUGCCUUACACAUGCAAGUCGAACGGUAACAGGUCUUCGGAUGCUGACGAGUGGCGAACGGGUGAGUAAUACAUCGGAACGUGCCCGAUCGUGGGGGAUAACGAAGCGAAAGCUUUGCUAAUACCGCAUAAGCUCUACGGAUGAAGGCCGGGGACCGCAAGGCCGUUCGCGAACGGAGCGGUCGGGGGCAGAUUAGGUAGUUGGUGGGAUAAAAGCUUACCAAGCCGACGAUCUGUAGCUGGUCUGAGAGGACGACCAGCCACACUGGGACUGAGACACGGCCCAGACUCCUACGGGAGGCAGCAGUGGGGAAUUUUGGACAAUGGGCGAAAGCCUGAUCCAGCCAUGCCGCGUGCAGGAUGAAGGCCUUCGGGUUGUAAACUGCUUUUGUACGGAACGAAAAGACUCUGGUUAAUACCUGGGGUCCAUGACGGUACCGUAAGAACAAGCACCGGCUAACUACGUGCCAGCAGCCGCCGUAACAC
rnacentral:rRNA from 1 species